UUGUUCUGGCACAUCCCUAAAAUGCCACUGGCCUCUUCUCGAUGUCUCUGGGUGCCAAAGCACACAGGGGGAUUAUGGUGCUUCAGCCCUAAUGGUGACUGCCCAAGCACUGCUCAUCCAUGGGAAAUGUGAAAUGCCCAAAAGUCUGGGAAGGACAAGGUCACACUGAAUGAGCAGCAAACCCAAGCGAAACUGGAGUUCAUUGGGGGAUGACAGACUAAGACACAAACACAACUCAAAAGCUUUCUUUAAGAAGUCACCGUGGUGUGAGCUGCUGACUCAGCACUGCCUGGUAGUGAGCUGCAGGAUGGCGUGAAGCCAGAACACUGGGCACGGGGCAGGUCCUUCCACCAGCAAAGCCAACCUUUGGGACAGACUGUGAUCACACGGUUGAGUUCUGAGGUGAUAAUCAAAAGGUUGAUGCAAGAGAAAAUGGGAUGUGCUGACUGUGACCCCAGGAUGGGCUGUUCCUGAGAUGCUGCCCAGCUUUUGCUUGCCUUGCCCAGCAGCGUUUGCCAACUUUCAAUUCUUGGUACUCAGUAUGGAGGAGUUCUUCCUUUCUGCCAGGUGGAACACAUUCACUGAACUGAGGGUACUUGAUAGUAAAUUCUUUCUGGAGCUUGUUUAAUGUUACUUGGACACAGCACCGUUUGUCCGUCUGCUCAUUGGCUGCUGUGUCCCUGAUGGGUGCUGAGACAUUAACAGCAAUUCGCUCUUCAGUUUUACGGCUUCCACUAUUUCCUUCUGUCUUUCCAGGCGCUCUGCUGAGCAGGUGCCUUGCUGAUUUUAGUAUAUGAGCUCCGAUGCAGAUGCCAGGACCUGGAAGACAUUUCAAUUCCUCGAAAACCUGGGCAUUUUUCAGUAGUUUUUCAGCAGCCUGUGUCAAUAUCUUUGAACAUGCUUUUGUUUUUGCUUUGUAUUUCCUCUCUGAGCCCUUUGUCACAGGUUCUGUGCCACCAGUUCAGGAAUGGAUCUGGUUCAGAUUGAAGCAGUAGCUUUCCUGUAGCCUCUACAAACUGGAAUCUCAGCCUGCACAUUUUUCAUCAAUGCUCUGCCUGUAAUUCGCAUUGUCUCAGCAGCAAUAGGGUUGUGUCAUCAUCUGCUUUUAAUGGCUGCCAAUUUCCUUUCUUCUCCCACAUAGCUCAGAGGAAGUCAGGGUAACCUGGCAGGCCCUGAGCUGCCUGGCUUGUUGGCUUUCUCUUUCCUUUUUGCAUGCUUCUGCUCAUUCUUGUGUCAAGUAUUAGCCUGGAUUUUAUAGUCUCCAUCUCUGUGAGGUUCUGCAAGCCAUUCAUGCUGGAAAGGUACAAAAUUUUAUCCCUCAAAUCCCUACAGCACAGUGCAAUUAUUAAUUAAUUUAUUUAUUUAUUGGCUGUAAAGUGCAGCAGAAGGACUUCUCUGAGUGCCAGCAGUGCUUACAUCUCCAUUAGCCGAAGCACAGCCCAUGAUUGUUUUUCUUUGCAGCCUUGCAUGCUUCCCGGGCUGUCUUUGGUAUAAGAGCAGGGGCUGCCUCCAGAACAGAGCAGCUUAUCACAGCAACGCUCAUAAAUCUGAUCUUGCCUUUAACCUUAAGCCAGAGCUCUCAGUGUAAGAUAAAGUGGUGCCAGACCACACAGUUCAUCUCGGGGCUGGAGGUAUAAGCUCUGGAGCCUGGAUCCAUUCCCAAGCAGAUGCCAGCCCCAGACAUGCUGCUCCGAGGGCCGGCCAGCUCUGGCUUCUCUUGCUUUGGCUGCUGUUCAGCUCUGGAUUCAUAAUACAGCUUAGUGACAGAUGUAAUAAACCCCUCUCUCAUCUGCCUCCCACUGCUACCAAAGGAACAUUAUGAUUUUUGUCAGCUACUUCUUGACCCUCUCAUCUCUUACUGCAGCUUGCAAUGAAAUGUUGUCAUCAAAUCUUAUCUGAUCUUUUUCCUCUUAGGAGCCAAGGCAAAAAAUAAAAAUGCUAAAAU
rnacentral:lncRNA from 7 species